GUCUCCUUUGUGGCCUUGGGAAAUAGUUGUGGGAGCUGAAAGUGUCUGAGAAUAAGAACUCUAGUCGCUCAGCACCAGAAGGUUAAGUGAGGAUCUUGGAGUCAUAAGAAGAGUGAAUAUGUUUGUUAGUUACACUCAGCACCAGAAGGUUAGGUGAGGAUCUUAGGAGUCAUAGAGGAGUGAAUAUGUUUGUUAGUUACACUCAGCACCAGAAGGUUAAGUGAGGAUCUUGGAGUCAUAAGAAGAGUGAAUAUGUUUGUUAGUUACACUCAGCACCAGAAGGUUAAGUGAGGAUCUUGGAAUCAUAAGAAGAGUGAAUAUGUUUGUUAGUUACACUCAGCACCAGAAGGUUAAGUGAGGAUCUUAGGAGUCAUAAGAAGAGUGAAUAUGUUUGUUAGUUACACUCAGCACCAGAAGGUUAAGUGAGGAUCUUAGGAGUCAUAAGAAGAGUGAAUAUGUUUGUUAGUUACACUCAGCACCAGAAGGUUGAGUGAGGAUCUUAGGAAUCAUAAGAAGAGUGAAUAUGUUUGUUAGUUACACUCAGCACCAGAAGGUUAAGUGAGGAUCUUGGAGUCAUAAGAAGAGUGAAUAUGUUUGUUAGUUACACUCAGCACCAGAAGGUUAGGUGAGGAUCUUAGGAGUCAUAGAGGAGUGAAUAUGUUUGUUAGUUACACUCAGCACCAGAAGGUUAGGUGAGGAUCUUAGGAGUCAUAGAGAAGUGAAUAUGUUUGUUAGUUACACUCAGCACCAGAAGAUUGAGUGAGGGUCUUAGGAGUCAUAAAGAAGUGAAUAUGUUUGUUAGUCACACUCAGCACCAGAAGGUUGAGUGAGGGUCUUCAGGACUCUCUCACUGUCUUCGGGUAAUGAGUUAAAGAAUAGUGAAGGCUGAACACUAAAUCAAUCCUGUACAAAUGUCAUUCACUCAGAUUUGAUCCCUCACAUGAACCAUCUCGCUACUAAACUAACUAACACUCUCUCCCCAGUGGUCCCUAUGAAGUCACCACUGCAACCAUUGAGAACUUUGGUAGAAUGUGUUAAGACAAUCCUGUAAAACCUAUCAUUCACUUGGGUUUGUUCCCUCGCAUGAACCAUCUUGCUACUAAACUAACUCUCUCUCUCUCUCUCUCUCUCUCUCUCUCUCUCCCCAGUGGUCCCUACAAUGCGCCCCACCACUGCAACCAUUGAAAACUGUGGUAGAAUGUGUUAAGACAAUCCUGUAAAACCUGUCAUUCACUUGGGUUUGUUCCCUCGCAUUAACCAUCUCGCUACUAAACUAACCCCAGUGGUCCCUACAAUGCGCCCCACCACUGCAACCAUUGAAAACUCUGGUAGAAUGUAUUAAGACAAGGACACAUUCCCAUCACCACCUUACAAAAGAUUAAGAAUAUUAGUUAAAAGGAAUAAAUACUGCAUGAAUACAUCAGUAAAGUAAGAAUGACUAAAUACUUUCAUGUAAUACUGAGCUAAUACAUGUGUAGUGAAGUAGACAGCAAUGAUUAAAAUAAGUAAUACUGACUUUAAACCCCAACGGUCUGAUCUGGCCAUAUUCCACCUGAUUCAUGCCAGGUAGAUAUGUGUGAGUGUAAGGUGCAGGUGUGUCAGUGCCUAUAUACUUCUCCAAGAGUACAGAAUUUUACCACUACUGCCCUCAUUGCCUUCCCGUGAGAUGCUGUGUUCAGGCGUUCAAGCCAUACAACAUAUAAGCAUUGCCUUCCUCUCCUAGCCCUGACCAACGUUGCCAGAUUGUUGUACUCAGCCUCCUGUUUCCCAAUUUCCGACCCCAAAACUGCCUCCUCAACCCCAAUAACUGCCUUCGUAUAUAGUUAUCGCAAAAAUGGUUAAUUAUACUGGUGCUUCUUGGCAAUAGUUAUGGCUCAGAAACUGGUAAAUACGAGGCUCUGAGUAGGACAAUCUGGCAAUGGUGGCCCUGACCUUUUUGUAGCUCAGAGUUUGAAUCAAGGUUGUCUUCUUGAUCAUUACACUUGUGGCCUUUUUUGGGAAGCUGUGUUGAUCCUACAAGCUCCACAGCACUUAGUCUUGUUUCCCCAACCCUGGCCCCAUUGUAGCUUAGAGGCUGACUUCAUAUUUUAACAUGGGAAGAAAAUACCAAACAUGCCUCACCUCACUCAGGCUGUCAGCAAUGAAACACCUUCAGACUGUGAGCCACAAAGGUCAGGGCUGAUGACAGGACUGACAGACAGCAAACAAGAUAACCAGCAGCAUGACUAAGAAUAACAGCACUUAAAUUACUGAUAAGCGACAAACAGAAAAGAAAUUACUAACAAAAGACAA